GGCCAGUUGGAUUCCAUGGAUUGUAAUUCUGUUUGAAGUUGCCUUGUUUCAACUUGGCACGUGCUACUAAAGAUAUCUGAGAGGACUUUUAAAACAAUGCCAGGACACAGACGAGUUGCAGGAUAAACCAGUUUGAGGCUGCCUGGUGGGCAGAGAGGGUCUGAGGUCAGGGAGGGAAGAGCAGUGGAUGUUCAGGCAGCUGCAAAGGGACCCUGAGCAGACCUGGAAGCAAAACUCAUCCUGAGUCUGCAUGACAUGAGUCAGUUAUAGGGUACCAAAACCAGUGUAGCUAUUUCAGUGUUAACCCUUUUGAGCAGCAGGAUAUAUCAGCCUAGAAGAAGUGUUGCAUAAAAGUGUCUAUAUUUUUUCAGGCCCUGUUAAACUCUCUCAACAUGCAGAAUUGUCAAUAUGGUUUAACACUUUUGCUUACAAAAUUAAAUCUGAUUAAUAUCUGUGACAGUCUGCCUCAGGUAGCUCUUGUAUUGCAAUAUUCAGUGACUGCUCUUCAUGUUUAAUAAAGCUGCUUAAAAUAGCA